rnacentral:tRNA from 1 species
GCCGGGGUACCCAAGCCAGGACCAAGGGGCAGGCCUUGAGAGCCUGUGGCCCCAUCCGGCGGGCCGCGCGGGUUCAAAUCCCGCCCCCGGCG